GACGAACGCUGGCGGCGUGCCUAAUACAUGCAAGUCGAGCGAACAGACGAGGAGCUUACUCCUCUGACGUUAGCGGCGGACGGGUGAGUAACAUGUGGAGAACCUACCUAUAAGACUGGGAUAAAUUCGGGAAACCGGAGCUAAUACCGGAUAACAUGUUGAACCGCAUGGUUCAACAGUGAAAGACGGGCUUGCUGUCACUUAUAGAUGGAUGCGCGUCGCAUUAGCUAGUUGGGAAGGUAACGGCUUACAAAGGCAACGAUGCGUAGGCGACACGAGAGGGUGAUUGCCCACCCUGGAACUGAGAAACGGUCCCGACUCUUACGGGAGGCCGCAGCAGGGAAUCUUCCGCAAUGGGGCAAAGCCUGACAGAGCAACGCCGCGUGAGGGAAGAAGGUCUUCGGAUCGUAAAGCUCUGUUAGUAGGGAAGAACAAAUGUGUAAGUAACUAUGCACGUCUUGACGGUACCUGAUCAGAAAGCCACGGCUAACUACGUG
rnacentral:rRNA from 1 species